GACAGGUUGAGGCCCCAGUCCAGGCUGGAAAGGAACUGGCCAGAACUGACCCUCUGUCCUGCCAGGAGAUCUUUCCUCCCCACCCCACCCAAAUUCUGCUCUUUUGUCUUAAAAUCUUCAAUUAUACAUUUUCAUUUCUUGUCACUUGGUGUACUUAGGUCUCCAGAUUUGGGGGAAGAGGUGCAGAGGUGUUCCCCAAUCCCUAGCAGAGGGGCCUCCAAGAUGUCAGCUCCUGAUUCUGGCUCUUCCAACCACACUCCUUCCCUACCUGCUUAAAACAGAUGCCUCUCUUAUCCUUAAGGAGAGAGAAGACAGAACUGCUUACUCACUCUCUGGAACUCUCCUAGCCUGAUGGGGGAGGAACAGAGCCACCAGUCUGACUUUGCAGUGCCCCAAACAGUAACCCACAAGGCAACAUACAGGUUAAGACUUGGCUCUGCCACCAACUUCUGUGACUUUGACCGAGCCAUUUCUAGUCUCUUGGCCUCAGUUUACUCAUCUGUAAAGUGAGGGGAUUGAGUAGGCAAUAGCAGAUCUUUUCUAGUACACUUUCUAUGGUUCUCAGUACAAGGUGGGCAUGGGAAGCUCUUUAAUAGUCUUUCUCUCUUCAUCUGUUUUUUUGUUUUUGUUUUAUUUGUUUGCUUGUUUUUGAGACAGAGUUUUGCUGUCACCCAGGCUGGAGCGCAGGGAUACAAUCCUGGCUCACCGCAGCCUUGACCUCCCAGUUUCAAGCGAUUCUCCCAUCUCAACCUCCCAAGUAGCUGGAACUACUGGCAUGUGCCACCAUGCCCAGCUAAUUCUUUUAUUUUUUUAGAGACAGGGUCUCUAUCAGUUAAGGUUGGAGAAUUUAUCUGGGAAGGCUUCCUGGAGGAGGUAAGGAAAAGAAGUCAGCUUGGAGCCAGAAUUAAGUAUUCUGAUUAAUGAGGGACCUGGAGCAUUGUAGGCUUCGGAGCACCUUUUUGGCUCCACCUACUCCUCAGGAGGAAAGGCCUGAGUCUGAGGUUUAAUAGAUACAGUUUUGUUCCUCCUUUCCCUGUAAUUACCUGGCCUGAGACACUCUCAGACUCUGUCCACCACUCCUGUCCUUCAACUCCUCCCACUGUCACCUGAGGAUAGGCUGUAUCUAGAUUCACAUUCUCUACCUCCUACUCCAGAAGAGUAGGUUGUAGGGCAGGUGUCAAAGAAGAGACUCCCAAGCUCUAGACCUGUGGUGUCCAAUAUGGCAGCCAUGAGCCACACAUGGUGAUUGAACAUGGGGAGUGUGGCUGGUCUGAACUGAGAUAUGCUGUACGUGUAAAAUACACAACAGAUUCAGA
rnacentral:lncRNA from 1 species